rnacentral:lncRNA from 1 species
CACGAACUUGGUGACUUAAAAGAACAGACAUUGAUUCUCUCACUGUUGUGGAGUCUGGAAGUCCAAACUCCAGGUGUCAGCAGGUGGGUGGCUUCUGGAGGCUCUGAGGAGAAUCCCUUCUGGCCUCCCUCCCAGCAUCUGGUGCUGCUGACGGUCCUUGGCCUUCCUUGGCUUGCAGCUGCUCUCUGCAAUCUCUGCCUCCGUUGUCACGUAGCUUUCUUCCCUCUUUGUGUCUUCACAUGGCCUUCUUAUAAGGACACCGGCCCACCCUAAUCCAUUAUGACCUAAGUGUAACUAAUUAUAUGAGCAAAAACCUUAUUUACAAUUAAAGUCACCUUCUGAGGUUCUGGAUGGACAUGAAUUUUGGGAGGACAACCUUCAACCCGAUAUUUUCCUAUAGGGUUCACCUUCCCAGGGAAGGAGCAGCCUUGUUUUCGAUCCUGGAUUUGGAAGAGGCUUAGGGGCUGCAUGGCUGUCCUGGUCCUCCUCCCUCCGCACCAGCA